AUUUCGAUUACUCAUUCCCUCUUCUACUAUGCAGGUAACCUUAGGGGAUUGGGCGUUUGCGGGGUGUGGAGGACGAGGCCAGUCGUAGAUUUCCGUUGUUGUUUGCAAGGCGCAAGAUGUUGAUGUUUUCACUCGUUUUGUUUUUCAUGGGUACCCGUUGACUCGUUUGUUUUAUUUUCUGCUGCGUUUAUCUUUAAGGACUUUAGUCGAGUUCCCAACUUUGUAAAAUAAAUAAAAUUAUGUUUGUUUUAAUAAAAUUCCCGUGGAACGCUGAUAUUUGAGUUUAGUCCAAACUUAACACAACUCUUGACCAAGGUACGGGUUGGCAAGCCUUAGGCCGAGGUUGAGAGGGACGGUACAGUGGUCGGACUGGUCGAGACUUUGAAUUUGUUUUGAAGUCUUAACUGGUACGACUGCGGUACUGUCAACCCUUGUAACGCUUCCGGGACGUUCCGGGUUGGUCCAGCCUAGGACGGCCCGGGGGUGUUACAGUCGGGGGCAUUCGUAUUUCAUAGUCAAAGGUGAAAUUCUUGGAUUUAUGAAAGAUGAACAACUGCGAAAGCAUUUGCCAAGGAUGUUUUCAUUAAUCAAGAACGAAAGUUGGGGGCUCGAAGACGAUCAGAUACCGUUCUAGUCUUAACCAUAAACGAUGCCGACCAGGGAUCAGCGGAUGUUGCUUUUUAGGACUCCGCUGGCACCUUAUGAGAAAUAAAAGUUUUUGGGUUCCGGGGGGAGUAUGGUCGCAAGGCUGAAACUUAAUGGAAGGGCACCAUCAGGGGGAAACUUACCAGGUCCAAACAUAGUAAGGAUUGACAGACUGAGAGCUCUUUAUUGAUUCUAUGGGUGGUGGUGCAUGGCUGUUCUUAGCUGGUGGAGCGAUUUGUCUGGUUAAUUCCGGUAACGAACGAGAUCUCAGCCUGCUAACUAGCUACGUGGAGGCAUCCCUUCACGAUUGGCUUCCUAGAGGGACUAUGGCCGUUUAGGCCAAGGAAGUUUGAGGCAAUAACAGGUCUGUGAUGCCCUUAGAUGUUCUGGGCCACACGCGUGCUACACUGAUAUAAUCCACGAGUUCACACCUUGACCCACAGGCCCGGGUAAUCUUUGAAAUUUCAUCGUGAUGGGGAUAGAUCAUUGCAAUUGUUGGUCUUCAACGAGGAAUUCCUAGUAAGCGCGAGUCAUCAGCUCCCAUUAACUACGUCCCUGCCCUUUGUACACACCGCCCGUCGCUCCUACCAAUUGAAUGAUCCAGUGAAGUGUUCGGAUCGUGGCGACGUGGGUGGUGUAACACCCCGAUCUGGCCGACAAGGCCGUGGUCGAAGCCUUAGAUCCUUUC
rnacentral:rRNA from 1 species